rnacentral:rRNA from 1 species
UGGAAAUGACGAGUUUGAUCCUUGCUCAGGGUGAACGCUGGCGGUAUGCUUAACACAUGCAAGUUGAACGAAAUUACUAGCAAUAGUAAUUUAGUGGCGGACGGGUGAGUAAUAUGUAAGAAUCUGCGCUUGGGCGAGGAAUAACAGAUGGAAACGUUUGCUAAUGCCUCAUAAUUUACUAGAUCUAUGUGAGUAGCUAGUUAAAGAGAAUUUCGCCUAGGCAUGAGCUUGCAUCUGAUUAGCUUGUUGGUGAGGUAAAGGCUUACCAAGGCGACGAUCAGUAGCUGAUUUGAGAGGAUGAUCAGCCACACUGGGAUUGAGAACGGAACAGACUUCUACGGAAGGCAGCAGUGAGGAAUUUUCCGCAAUGGGCGCAAGCCUGACGGAGCAAUACCGCGUGAAGGAAGACGGCCUUUGGGUUGAAAACCUCUUUUCUCAAAGAAGAAGAAAUGACGGUAUUUGAGGAAUAAGCAUCGGCUAAUUCCGUGCCAGCAGCCGCGGUAAUACGGGAGAUGCGAGCGUUAUCCGGAAUUAUUGGGCGUAAAGAGUUUGUAGGCGGUCAAGUGUGUUUAAUGUUAAAAGUCAAAGCUUAACUUUGGAAGGGCAUUAAAAACUGCUAGACUUGAGUAUGGUAGGGGUGAAGGGAAUUUCCAGUGUAGCGGUGAAAUGCGUAGAGAUUGGAAAGAACACCAAUGGCGAAGGCACUUUUCUAGGCCAAUACUGACGCUGAGAAACGAAAGCUGAGGGAGCAAACAGGAUUAGAUACCCUGUAGUCUUGGCCGUAAACUAUGGAUACUAAGUGGUGCUGAAAGUGCACUGCUGUAGUUAACACGUUAAGUAUCCCGCCUGGGGAGUACGCUUGCACAAGUGAAACUCAAAGGAAUUGACGGGGGCCCGCACAAGCGGUGGAGCAUGUGGUUUAAUUCGAUGCAACACGAAGAACCUUACCAGGAUUUGACAGGAUCUAGGAAGUUUGAAAGAACGCAGUACCUUCGGGUAUCUAGACACAGGUGGUGCAUGGCUGUCGUCAGCUCGUGUCGUGAGAUGUUGGGUUAAGUCCCGCAACGAGCGCAACCCUUUUUUUUAAUUAACGCUUGUCAUUUAGAAAUACUGCUGGUUAUUACCGGAGGAAGGUGAGGACGACGUCAAGUCAUCAUGCCCCUUAUAUCCUGGGCUACACACGUGCUACAAUGGUUAAGACAAUAAGUUGCAAUUUUGUGAAAAUGAGCUAAUCUUAAAACUUAGCCUAAGUUCGGAUUGUAGGCUGAAACUCGCCUACAUGAAGCCGGAAUCGCUAGUAAUCGCCGGUCAGCUAUACGGCGGUGAAUACGUUCUCGGGCCUUGUACACACCGCCCGUCACACCAUGGAAGUCGGCUGUGCCCGAAGUUAUUAUCUUGCCUGAAAAGAGGGAAAUACCUAAGGCCUGGCUGGUGACUGGGGUGAAGUCGUAACAAGGUAGCCGUACUGGAAGGUGUGGCUGGAACAACUCCC